rfam:Lupinus angustifolius cultivar Tanjil contig_54770, whole genome shotgun sequence.
GAGCUAUGAGGAUAUUUGUUCUAUGUGUGAUAGCUGGGUCUAUCACCAACGUCUUCUAGAUGAAUAUAGUGCAUCUGAGCUC